rnacentral:rRNA from 1 species
GUUCCUUGAGGAGUGGCUUCCGGAGCUAACGCGUUAAGUCGACCGCCUGGGGAGUACGGCCGCAAGGUUAAAACUCAAAUGAAUUGACGGGGGCCCGCACAAGCGGUGGAGCAUGUGGUUUAAUUCGAUGCAACGCGAAGAACCUUACCUACUCUUGACAUCCAGAGAACUUAGCAGAGAUGCUUUGGUGCCUUCGGGAACUCUGAGACAGGUGCUGCAUGGCUGUCGUCAGCUCGUGUUGUGAAAUGUUGGGUUAAGUCCCGCAACGAGCGCAACCCUUAUCCUUUGUUGCCAGCGGUUCGGCCGGGAACUCAAAGGAGACUGCCAGUGAUAAACUGGAGGAAGGUGGGGAUGACGUCAAGUCAUCAUGGCCCUUACGAGUAGGGCUACACACGUGCUACAAUGGCGCAUACAAAGAGAAGCGACCUCGCGAGAGCAAGCGGACCUCAUAAAGUGCGUCGUAGUCCGGAUCGGAGUCUGCAACUCGACUCCGUGAAGUCGGAAUCGCUAGUAAUCGUAGAUCAGAAUGCUACGGUGAAUACGUUCCCGGGCCUUG